rnacentral:lncRNA from 1 species
UCCUCUGCUAAAAGAAAUCUGAAUGCCAUAAUAUGGCCGGGGAAAUUAAGGAAGCAUGUGGAAUUAAAGAGUCUAAGACAAGAUGGACUCUUCCACAUUCAACGCACAAAUUAAAUGCGUCCCUUCUAAAAUUUGAUGUGGCAUCCCUUCCAUGAGAAGGACUCUUCAUCCAAUUUCAUUCCAACAUAUCCCAAAAGCCAUCAUAUGGCACGUGGGAUUAAAUAGGAUGUCUGCA